UACGAAGGGGGCUAGCGUUGCUCGGAAUUACUGGGCGUAAAGGGCGCGUAGGCGGACAGUUUAGUCAGAGGUGAAAGCCCAGGGCUCAACCUUGGAAUUGCCUUUGAUACUGGCUGUCUUGAGUUCGGGAGAGGUGAGUGGAAUGCCGAGUGUAGAGGUGAAAUUCGUAGAUAUUCGGCGGAACACCAGUGGCGAAGGCGGACUCACUGGCCCGAGUACUGACGCUGAGGCGCGAAAGCGUGGGGAGCAAACAGGG
rnacentral:rRNA from 1 species